GCCGGUGCCCUCCGCAGGCAGCCUGCCCGGCCUCUCCAGCAUGGUGCACUCCUUCCUGGCGCUGGUGCAGCCCAACGCCUUCCCAGCUGAGAUCCUCAGCAACUUGAUCCAGAAGAAAGCUCCCGUUUCAGACUCCUCCGCGUACAAAGAGGUGCUGGUUUACGAGGUGGGUUUCCUGGUCUGCACCGCCAUCGGCCUCCUCUUCAUCCUCCUCGUGCCCCUGGUGGGCUUGUGCUUCUGCUGCUGCCGC